rnacentral:rRNA from 1 species
AUUGAACGCUGGCGGAAUGCUUUACACAUGCAAGUCGAGCGGCAGCGCGGGGGCAACCCUGGCGGCGAGCGGCGAACGGGUGAGUAACAUAUCGGAACGUACCCAGUAAUGGGGGAUAACUACCCGAAAGGGUAGCUAAUACCGCAUACGCCCUGAGGGGGAAAGCGGGGGAUCGGAAACGACCUCGCGUUAUUGGAGCGGCCGAUAUCGGAUUAGCUAGUUGGUGGGGUAAAGGCCUACCAAGGCGACGAUCCGUAGCGGGUCUGAGAGGACGACCCGCCACACUGGAACUGAGACACGGUCCAGACUCCUACGGGAGGCAGCAGUGGGGAAUUUUGGACAAUGGGGGCAACCCUGAUCCAGCCAUUCCGCGUGAGUGAAGAAGGCCUUCGGGUUGUAAAGCUCUUUCGGCAGGAACGAAACGGUGGGCUCUAACAUAGCCUGCUAAUGACGGUACCUGAAGAAGAAGCACCGGCUAACUACGUGCCAGCCGCCGCAGUAA